GACGAACGCUGGCGGCGUGCUUAACACAUGCAAGUCGAACGGAAAGGCCCUGCUUUUGUGGGGUGCUCGAGUGGCGAACGGGUGAGUAACACGAGAGUAACCUGCCCUUGCCUUUGGGAUAACUUCAGGAAACUGGGGCUAAUACCGGAUAGGAGCUCCUGCUGCAUGGUGGGGGUUGGAAAGUUUCGGCGGUUGGGGAUGGACUCGCGGCUUAUCAGCUUGUUGGUGGGGUAGUGGCUUACCAAGGCUUUGACGGGUAGCCGGCCUGAGAGGGUGACCGGCCACAUUGGGACUGAGGUACCGCCCAGACUCCUACGGGAGGCAGCAGUGGGGAAUAUUGCACAAUGGGCGGAAGCCUGAUGCAGCAACGCCGCGUGCGGGAUGACGGCCUUCGGGUUGUAAACCGCUUUCGCCUGUGACGAAGCGUGAGUGACGGUAAUGGGUAAAGAAGCACCGGCUAACUACGUG
rnacentral:rRNA from 1 species